rnacentral:lncRNA from 1 species
GUGCUUGUGCUGCUUUGGUGACAUAUGUGGGCUUCAUCAUCUACAUGUAGCCCACCUAACUCCAUCUUUACACAUCUGUGUAAUUUGCUAAGCCCUGUGCGCGUCCAAAGAAAUUGACUAGAAUCAUCUGCAGUCGUGUCUACUCUAGAGGCAACAGUUGAGAAAAGUAGCUCAGAAUUUCCUUCAAAAGAUGAUUUCCUUCAAAGAAGACUCCAAGAAAAGGAGAUUUAAAUGUCAUGAGCAGGCCUUGUUAUAUUAAGGAGGGCCCCUAUUGACUCUAUCUUCCAAAUAAUACUGCAAUAAAUCUCUCCC